GAACGAGAAAGUGGAGCAAUCCAUGAGUAAAGUGGCGACCGGGUGAGUAACACGUGACUAACCUACCCUUGAGUGGGGGAUAACCUCGGGAAACCGGGGCUAAUACCGCAUAACAUCGCAAGAUCAAAGGAGCAAUCCGCUGAAGGAGGGGGUCGCGGCUGAUUAGUUAGUUGGUGAGGUAAUGGCUCACCAAGACGAAGAUCAGUAGCCGGCCUGAGAGGGCGCACGGCCACACUGGAACUGAAAUACGGGCCAGACUCCUACGGGAGGCAGCAGUGGGGAAUUUUGGGCAAUGGGCGCAAGCCUGACCCAGCAACGCCGCGUGAGGGAGGAAAUCCUUCGGGAUGUAAAC
rnacentral:rRNA from 1 species